CAGUUGACGCGCAACGGAAGCUUGUUCAUUCACGAAAUAUUCCCAUUUACGGCACGGAAUAUAACGGAAGUAUAAGGAAGGAAAUUACGAGUUUGGAUAUCCACUCCACGAAAAUUUGUGCCUGUAUAGCUUCUUCGCAUUGACUCAAGCUGCAGGAUAGCAUGGUGAAUAGUUAAAUGACCGAGUGAAAAAGAAGAAAUAACGCGCGUAGCUGACUAUUUUAUUCUCUUGUACCGUUAAAUCGUCCUUCAAUCGCGAUCACGGACAUCCGACCUUGACCAUCGACUUAUGACGUGGUGUUUCUUCCUUCGAGGUUUUGGUAUUACUUCCAGCGACAUUCGACCGAACUCUUCGUCUUUUCAUUAAUUGGCCACCGACGAUGCACUAAUUUCAUAUCGUCUGACCUUUUGACCGGUCGGGUCAAAUGAUCGAAAACAUUGACUUGAAUUGUAAACCGAGCGAGUCACCAAGUGCGCAGACAUAUACGUUGCCUACGUAUUAAACUCAGCGAGGUGUAAACAUGAUUAAUUAUCAGUUUCACUUAAAAACAGUACGCAAUAUGAUUUGAAGAGACACAGAGAGCAAGAGCAGGAAAGUUUGUGAACUUUCUACGAGAUAGAAAUUGGAUUUGUCUUCGGUAGAGGAUGAUAUUAGAGAAUCGAGUUUCACCGAAUUCGAUGGUCUUCGUGUCACUUUGGCUUCGAGAAGCAUGACGGUAUUCACAGGAGAAGCUUUUUAGUCGAAGGUGGCUGAGAAUUACGAGGAACACCUGCCUCUCCAUCUCUGGAAUUGCCACUGCCGUCCAUAUCUCUGUAACCAAAGAAAUCACAUGAAAUAAAUAUGAAUACAUACAUAAAGUCAGCUUUGAUCGAUACUUUAAACCAAAUUUUAAUAUCGGCUUUUAGUAAAUUAUAAUAAUAUGCACUAAUUACUGAACACACCCAUAACCUCGAAAUUCGCGAGACAUUUGUAUGAACGAAAUUCAUCAACAAGAAUUUUGUACAUGUUAUAAUUUUUUAAUAAAUACUAUAUAAGUGUAAAA
rnacentral:lncRNA from 1 species